rnacentral:rRNA from 1 species
GACGAACGCUGGCGGCGUGCCUAAUACAUGCAAGUCGAGCGGGCCUCCGGAGGUGCUUGCACCUCCGGAAGGCCAGCGGCGGACGGGUGAGUAACACGUGGGCAACCUGCCUUUGAGGCCGGGAUAACACCGGGAAACCGGUGCUAAUACCGGAUACGUCCUCUUUCGCGCCUGCGAGAGGGGAGAAAGACGGUCUUUAAGGCCGUCGCUCAAAGAGGGGCCCGCGGCGCAUUAGCUGGUUGGUGGGGUAAGGGCCUACCAAGGCGACGAUGCGUUGCCGACCUGAGAGGGUGAUCGGCCACACGGGGACUGAGACACGGCCCAGACUCCUGCGGGAGGCAGCAGUAGGGAAUCAUCCGCAAUGGGCGAAAGCCUGACGGUGCAACGCCGCGUGAGUGAGGAAGGUUUUCGGAUCGUAAAGCUCUGUUGUGAGGGAAGAACAGCUUCCGGAGGAAAUGCCGGAGGUUUGCCGGUACCUCACCAGAAAGCCCCGGCUAACUACGUGCCAGCCGCCGCAGUAA